GGCGCUUUGGCGGAGUGGUUAACGCGAUGCCCUGCUAUUGUCGCGAAUAGUGAAGGCAUUUCCCUCGGGAGCGCAGGUUCGAAUCCUGCAGGCGUCG